ACCAGCUGACGAGUCCUAAAUAGAACGAAACGCGCAUCCUGGAU
rfam:Schistosoma rodhaini strain Burundi genome assembly, scaffold: SROB_scaffold0000535